GUGCCAGCAGCCGCGGUAAUACAGAGGGUGCAAGCGUUAAUCGGAAUUACUGGGCGUAAAGCGAGCGUAGGUGGCUUAAUAAGUCAGAUGUGAAAUCCCCGGGCUUAACCUGGGAACUGCAUCUGAUACUGUUGGGCUAGAGUAGGUGAGAGGGAGGUAGAAUUUCAGGUGUAGCGGUGAAAUGCGUAGAGAUCUGAAGGAAUACCGAUGGCGAAGGCAGCCUCCUGGCAUCAUACUGACACUGAGGUUCGAAAGCGUGGGUAGCAAACAGGAUUAGAUACCCUGGUAGUCC
rnacentral:rRNA from 1 species